AACACGGAAAACAAGUUGUAUAGAAUAAAUCUGACCUACAAAUGUGUGUUAAUGCAAAUGCUGGUAAAGAUGGGGAAGACACUUGGAUUGGUGCUCCUUGUGUGCAUGAUUUGUAUAGAAAUACUGUCUGCAUUCCAGAAUAACUUGAUUUAAAGCUUGUUUGUCAAGGGCUACCUUUUCUCUUUCUCACUUUCCUGUCAUCAUGCUUAAGUGUACAAAUCCUCACAGAGACAAUCUACUCAUCAGCAGCAGGAGACAAAAGAUCUGGUACUCAGGAAAAUGAUUUUUUUUUUUAACUAAAGAAGAAGGAAUCAGGCUUCAGUUCACAGCAAGAAAGAUUUCCUGUGUUAUUUGUUCCUCUGUGAUCCUUUAUCACGUCAGCAGCGAGUGCCCUGCCUUUUAUACCCUACUUAAGCAGUCUCCAUUACCAGGCAUGCAGCAGUCAGCCAUUCUAGCAUUCUGUUGCCACGCUGUGCCUUGUAAUGAAUUUUUCAUGUGUUGUCUUUUUUCAGUUAACUCAGCCUUGAAAAGAGACAGAGCUCCACUCUCUCUGUAGCACCCAGAACCAAGCUAUUUACUGUUUUCUGAUGCUUUCUAGAAUUUGCUUUGAAUAGAGUUGAAAACAACCCACAAUUUAGUAAUUAUUUUUCUUCAUUUUGUAUCUGCUGUGUGAAUACACCUUUAAGCCUCAAAUGGUCUGGGUAGAAGUCCCUUUUCUUCCUCCUUAUGUAUAAGGUGAAGUCUUGAAUAGUUAAAAGCAUCAGAGAAAAGAAAUAAGAACCAUCAUCAGCUUCAGCAACCCUUUUUCAUAGCUGAAGGAAAUAAACGUAUUUUGUGAAUGACAGGAAAGACUGAAGCUGUGGGAGCUUCUGUGAAAGGGCUGAAGGUUAGGGCUUAGGUUACCAGCCUGUGUCAAUGUCUGCACUGUUCACGCAGAACCCCUGAAACCUUUUUCAGUUGAGCUUGGCAGCUUAUGUGAAAGUAGUUGUAUUCUAUGCGCUUUUUUUCUUAACUCUCUCCUGAAGGUGUGUAUGUGAAAAAAAGCAACUCCACAAGCUUAUUUGUAAGGAUUUGGGAGGCGUUAAACCAAAGGCAUCCUUGGCCUUAUGUUUAUAUUGUUGAUGCAAGCUUUUGGUGAAGGCAUAUCAUAGAUAUCUUCAUUUCCCUGCUGCUCAAUAAUUUAUUCUCCCUUUCUUUCUCCUCAUUAGAGAAAGCAGCACUCUGAUAAGGCUCCUAAUUUUUCAAACCCCUUGUUGGUGAGUGAUGCAGGCUGAAUGCCCACUGUCAGCCAUAUGCUGCUGGAGCAAGUGCUUCCCAGAAAAGCUUUCUGUUUCUGGCUGGGAGGCAGCAGCACUGCGAGUGCCUGAUGUCACUGACUUACCUGGCUUUUCUUUGAAUGGUGACUUUUCAUUUUCUUACAGUCCUCUGCUCUGUAUCCCAGGGCUAUCUCUGCUGAGCUUCUUUCAGUGCCUUCUGUUCCCAAACAGCAAUGGUAGGAGAAAGGAAGCAAAAAUUUCUUAUCCCCAUUCUAUAAUGUGUUUGGGAGAUUUAUUCCUGUGCUGGAAUUUUUGCAGGGGAUACAGUAGCAGCUGUAGAACAUGGUUAAAAUCCUAGCAAUUCUUUGCAGUUUCCAGUAAUACACUUGUUUUGUAGAAUAAAUAAGAUUUUAUCAGAAGAGAGUGGAUUUUAUUGGUAGUUCACUUAGGGUAAAGUGCGUACCAAGCUGUCCUUAAUGGAAAUGAGAAAUAGGGGUCGUUACAUACUUUGUGAGGAAGACAAAGAUUCAUUUUCAUGGAAAGAUCAUAUGUUAUGACAUCUUUAUUUCCCUUUAGAGACUUUAUUGACAUUCUUGCUUAUUUCUAGUUCUCAUAAAUAUAACCACCCCUUGUGAAUCUCAACAACUGCUUUGUCUUCCUUAAUUUUCUUCUUUUGAGUUUGCUUCACUAACAUUGUUUUGGAUUCUCCAGCCUACUUUCCCAAAGUUGGAUCUAAAUGCUGACUGAUAAUAUAUCUAAGUUUGUGAUCAUUAACUAAAAGGAGAAGGACAACUAACUUGGGACAAAGUUUCUCAGGAAAUGAUGAUCCUAGGCUUAUAAAUCUGCCAUUUCAAUCAUGCUUAGAAUCACUUGGUAUCUAAAUAUAUGUAAAGUACAUUUAGCUUGAUGUGUCUUUCAGAAAUUUUGAGCAGGUGGAAGAGUGUGUGUCCAUUUACUGGCUUUAAUUAGACAUUGGGGCACCAAACUGUUUCAUUUAGCAACACUAUUGACCCUUAAAAAUACCUUUCUGCUUAGAGAAACAUUGAUUUUUAUGUAUUUAUCCCAGUCUCUUGGGCAGCACAGAUGCUUGAAUGAACCUCUUGGCAUCUUCCAGCUUUGCUUGUAGCUGUUGCUGAAAUGAGAAGUGAUGUCUUGUAAAUAUGAGUAAGCAGGCAUAUUAUGUAAAUUGUUAAUACUAACAAUUGUUAAAUUAGUGGCUUCUGCAGGUGAAUGUAAAAUAUCUGUGCAAAAAUUAAAACUCAAUAAAUAGGCAUUCAAUAAAUAUUCAAGCAUAUCUGUCCUUUUUCAACUCUUCUGAUUAUCUGUUUAAUGUAUGUCAUUAAAAAUGUGGGAGAUUAGGUUUUAGUGACUCCAGUAAUCUUUCUUUUGUUUUUAGAGUGCUGUUUGGUGUAAAUGAGAAAUUUCUUGUAUUGAGCUGUCAAAACAGCUCAGUUCAAUAAGCAGAUUUGCAUGGGAGUUGGUCAGUUGUCAUUUCCUCUAGUUUGCUUGCUCAAUCUGUACAUAUGUUGCCUUUGCUAAUUUUGAUUACAAAGAAGUUAAAUGGUUAUGUAGAGAAUUUUUCUUUAUCUUGCUUGUUUUUUGCAUUUGAGAAUACAAAAAAGUCCCUGCCUUUCACAGCUUGUCUGUGUAGUCUUUUCCAUCAUGUUAUGUUGAAUUUUUGUGGCAGAAAAAUGAUUAACAAGGACUGAUACAUUCACCCAUUCACUUUCUGUUUCUAACCCUUUUAAAAUGUGUUGCUGCUUCUAGAGGGAGCAUCUUAUAUCAGAUAGUACCUUAGGUGAAAAGGUAAGUGUUAAAAUACUACUUCUUCUGUGGAAAAACAGCAAAAAUGCUAUUUGCCGUCCUUUAAAAUAAAACAGGUAUGUCUGUUGGAUGUAGGUGUUUAUUUGCAUGGGAUUUACAAUCUGUUAAGCAGGUGGUGUAUUUACCUUCUUAUUUCUAAGUCAGGAGCAAAAUUUCAGAGAUUUCAUUAUUAGGGAACUUUUUGAAAUUAGCUUGUAAUGAUAAAGGCCUUUUUUCAGUUAAGUGCCGCUGGACUGGGGGUGGAGGUUGUAUCCACACUACUGAACUUUCUGUCUCCAUUGUUGGUGCUUUGGUCUGCAGCAUUGUGGAUUCAGGCACUCUGCUCCCUUGCAGAAGUGUUACAGUUCAAUGUUCAGAGUUUUCUGGGGGAUUUUGUAAGCUCUCUUCCAUUGCUUUCUUCUUUGUAGAAACAUAUUUUUGCCCUUUCCCCUUUUUUCUCUUCUUCUCUUGAAUGUUUAUGUAAAGCACAGCAUUGAGUGUUGAUCUCUCUGAGCUGGUUGCAAGCAAACUGAAAUGUCUAAUCAGCAAUAUGUAUGUGAGGUCCCAGAAGGAUUAUAACUGUGUCAGUGUGAUGCUGCAUCAGGGCUAAUUAGCUCUGCCUCUCAGACUGAGUAAUUAGCUCAGGUAUCCUGCUCUGCUGCUAUGACAACCAGGCUGUUUCCAUUUUUGGAGCUCCCUAGAUUUAGAGCUGACUUGGGUAUCUGCAUGGCUGUCAGCUCGUGCCUUCUGUUAUUGAUAGAAAACAAACAGAAAGCUCCUCGAGCACUCUGACCUUUCUACAUUUUCAAGGCAGAGAGCCAUGCUUGUGGAAUAAAUAUUUUUUUUCCUAACCAGAAGCAAUUAGUGGUUGAAACAGCCUCUUGAGUUGUGAAGGAAAACCAGCCACUGAGUCCAUAGGAGAAAAGAAGCUUUCUUUUGCAGGGGAAAAAGGUCUCACAUAAUUGAAGAGGAAACUACUUGACUGCUUUCAAGUGCACAGUGAAACUAUUCCCAUUCCUUCUCUCCUUUCCAUCUCCAUCAUUAGCCUUCCUUCUCACCUGUUUUCUGCUGGGUAAGCCAGAAACUUGUACAUUUUUAAGCAGGUUUUCAGAAGUGGUCAUUGAUGAGUAAAUAUUCCAGCUGUCACCUGUUGGCCUGGAGUGCUGGUGCUGCUUAAGGCUGGGUUUUUCUCACUUGUGGGUAAGCAGAGAUGUGACUCUUUUCCCAGGGCUUAAAGCCAGACUCCUUUGUGGAACUUUUCCUGUGAAUCAAACACUUGGGGUUCCACACUGUCUUCCCACUUCAUCCUUGAGUGCCUGGUUGUUAUUCACCUAUUCUAGAUCCUCUGUCGAAUUCUGAUUGAAUGGCACAAACUGUGCCAAUAAGUGCAGGAGUUCUGAGUUGGCUUGCUCAUUUGGUUUUUAUUAAUGUUCUAUGAGCCUAAUUAAGGGCAAACUAAUAGAUUUCUGCUUUGCCAAAGGAAAUUGAAGGCUAGAACCAGGAAAAAGCAACAUAGAGUGGAUGUUGUAUGGUCUGGUAAGAGCAGUGAACAAGCAAGCGCUUACUUUGCUGUUGGAAAGAAUUCCAGAAGCAAAUUAGCCAGGAAAUAGUGCUAUUUACUCUGAUGGAUAAUAUUUUAAUAAGGGGGUGUAACAUGGUAAUUGGAGAAAUGGUCUAAAAAAUUUAGUUGUCCAUGAUUUUGUUUUGUGAUUGAUGGAAUCGUUGUUCUGUACAGGUGGAUGUUAGGGACCACAAAGAAGACUUUGGUUAAUCUAAUUCCCUGCAUAUGGGCCUUUUGCAGGGAGCUGCAGAGAGUGAGAAAUGUUGUUGACUUUGGCAUGUGUUAAAAAGCUUUACCUCUUGAGUCAUUAAGUUAUUACUAAGAAGUUGGUAUCAUAAACAUUUUGUAUUGUGACCAAAUUAGAAAAUACUGCGAUUCAUUGCAUUGGAGCUUGUAUUUUUAUUAAGUGUAUAAAGUCUGCUUUCUCACAGUUUCUUCAAUGAAAUCCCUUUUCAGUGUGUGAAUAUAGGGGAGAAUGUUGCAAAGUAAGAACUAAUAUACAUUUUGAAAAAUGGUUACUUACUUGUGUAGGAUUUAAGUCAUAGCAAUGGCAAGGAUUUCUAAAAUAUUUUGUAUGCAUAGUAUAAAGAAAUAAAUGCACCCCAGUAACUAUAAAGCAGUUAAAAACAUGCUAUUAACCACAUUAAAAAAUGGCAAGAUUAGACUGUAGGAUGGAAAUGGCUUGAUCUUAAUUUCAUGUGUGGUGUAGAUAAACAAGAGUUGAACUUUGUGUUUCUUGGUUCUGAGCCUUGAGGUAAUUUUUAGUGUGUUUAUCUUGAAGUGAAAUCUUACAAAAUUUAAACUAAAAAUAAGAUGUAAAUGGCUUGGGUGGAAGGUAAAUCAGAUUACCAGGCAUACAUUAAAUGUUUCAUUAGUUCUUUAAAUGGCUGUAGGUAGGGUUAAAAAGUUCAUAUCAGACUCUUGACAAUUAAUAUGGUUAUGUCAAAAUCAAUUUUUUGUGAAGAAAUACAAAUAGUUAAUAUCUGUUGACAUUCUUGAAAUUAAAGCAUUGGUUUUGUUGUGUGUAUUGUUUUAAAUCAAAAAGUUUUUUACUAUUUCUUUCUGUUUGCUUCUGAAUGUGUUUGUACUUGUCAUCUCAUGUACUCUUUCUUCCUUACUACUUCUUUUUCCUCUUCUUUAGAUAUUUAAAGAUUCUGUAGCUAUAAGGAAAGGAAUUAUAAUUUCUUUUAAAAUUCUUUUAAACUUUACUUGCUACUGUCUGGGGAUGAGAAGGGUUGAAAAGUUUUUUUAAAAAAACUCCAUCUGAAAGUGUAAAAAAAUGUUGAAGUAGUGCAAUACAUUUUAUAUCUACUUGUGAACUAAUAGCAUCUCUUUCCCAAAAGAUGCAUCCUGCUACUUUCAAAAACAAGUGGGAAAAAGCCAUCGGAAUUUACUUUCUGUGCAGGAGACAUGAAGAAAGGGCACACUGGUUUGUGGUUUGAAAAUCUGAAUGAAAUACCUGCUGUGCUGUGUUCUGACUGCAGUCCAAGCCUUCCCUCUAUGAAUUGGUAGCAGGAGCAAUAGUAAUUUAAACCAAACAUAUCAUUCUUUAUUUUUUGCUACCUGAAUAUAUCAAAGUAGUCGCAUUGCAUGUACAACAGCAGACCAAAAAGGAUCAGGCUUUAAAUCAGCUAAUAACUAAUCUAUGGGUAUGAAUUAAUACAAACUUCUAAAUAAUUUAAAAUUUUAGAGUGAAUCUAUAAUGUAAGGAAAGACAAAUUAGCUAUGAAAUGAAUUCUGCACUGUAUAGUUCUGUAUAAUAAGUUCAAAUCUCUGCUGAAAAUGAAAGCACUCCUUGUACUCUUGGAACAAAGUCUGUGUUCUGCCCCUCUGCACUACUGAGUAAACUCUGAGCUUGUAAAAUUAAUUUUGGCACUGCUCACUGGAGAAAAAUUUCUCAAGGAGUUAAAAUACUAUUGCCUGUUUUCUACUAUAUUAAUUUGAUUACAUCCAUAUUGAUCUGGAAAACAGUGCUACUCACAUGACUAUGAAGGUGAAACUUGAGUCUCUCAGGCCGUGCUUUUUUAAUGCUGCAGCUUUUCAAAAGAAGAGCAGUAAAUAUCUCUUGGUGUUAAUAAUUCCAGAUAGGUGCUGCCUUACUAGCCUUUUUUUUUUUUUCUUUUUUUUUUUCUUUUUUUUUUUCUGUAUUACACAAAUUUAUUACAGGAGGAACACCCUUUGUACUAAGCAGAGGAGUAAAAGCCUUAGUUUGAUUUAUUUCUGCAGUACUAUUCUCAGACUUGUGAACAAAUUAUGUCAGUGUAUGAGUUUGCUAUCUGUGUGUGAGAUACAUUGCUGGAUUUACUGUAGAUGACAGGUGCUUCCUGAGAAGACAAGAACUAAUUAUAAAAAGCAACCAAACACAACUAGAUCUUAGAUUUGUUCUGACUGGUUUUCAGAUUGGGAAAGUACUCAUGUCUCUGGCCUUUCCAAACAUGCAAAUUCUACUGAAGGUUAGUCAGACCUCUUGCAGACCAAGGGUAGGAAUUAAAUUGCAAAAAAGAUAGUUCUCUCAGCAAACACUGUAAUUACAGUUCUCUCUCUGCAUUAGUGAAGCCACAGACUUACUUGAUUAAGUGCGGGUCUGAUACACUGCAGUAAUUAUUUCU